GCCUGGGCUGAGGGUCACAGGCACGUGUACUUCCGUUUCCGGUGUGUCCUGAAGCCAUGGCCACCGCCAGGGCACCGAGGCUUCUGCUGCUGAUGUUCUGCAGAUCAUGCCGCAGCCUUCGAGGACCUCAGUCCCGAGCAUACGCCGCCCUUGUGCCCGGUGUGUCCCAGGUAGACAACGGGUCCGAUUUCCUGGGGAAGAAGCCCCAUCGUAAGCAUCCCGGCAUCCUGCAUCUUCCGCACAUACAGCUGCCGAAAGCACUGACUGACGCCGCGCAGUUAUUGCUUUUUGAGAGACCUAUUCGCAGUAUAGAGAAGCAGGUGCAAGCCCUCACCAACUAUCUCUGGAGCCGACAUUUACCAGUAGAGCCGGAGGAGUUGCAAAAACGGGCUGCGUACCUUGAGAAAAAAUUCCUGGAAAAACAAGACUCAACUCAGACAGAGGAAAAACUUCGUGAGGCAGUACUACAUGCCCUACGCAAAACUACCUACCACUGGCAGGAACUCAGCUACAAUGAAGAGCUGAGUCUGAUCUAUAUGGCAGCAAGAUUGGACGGUGGUUUUGCUGCAGCUUCCAGGGCAUUCCAUGAGAUCCGGGCUCGAAACCCAGAGUUCCAGCCCCAGACGUUGAUGGACUUUGGGUCUGGCACUGGUUCUGUUGCCUGGGCUGCUCACAGUACUUGGGGCCAGAGCCUCCGGGAAUACAUGUGUGUGGACCGUUCAGCUGCCAUGCUGGGUUUGGCCGAAAAGCUCCUUAAAGGUGGUUCAGAAUCAGGGAAGCCCUGUAUCCCAGGUGUCCUUUUCAGACAGUUUCUACCUGUGUCACCCAAGGUCCAGUUUGAUGUGGUUGUAUCAGCCUACGCUCUCAGUGAACUACCCAGCAGGGCUGAUCGCAUUGAGGUUGUUCAGAACUUGUGGCGUAAGACAAGCCAUUUUCUGGUAUUGGUGGAGAAUGGAACAAAAGCUGGGCACCGACUUCUCAUGGAUGCCAGGAAGCUGGUCCUCGGGGAAAAAGAGAAGUCACCUUUGGACCUUCGACCUAGCUUUGUUUUUGCCCCAUGUCCCCAUGAACUUCCUUGUCCUCAGCUGAAUGCCUCCAAGCCCCUGGCCUGUAGCCUCUCCCAGGCUUAUCAUCCUAUCCCCUUUAACUGGAAUAAGAAACCAAAGGAGGAGAUAUUCUCUAUGGUAAUCCUUGCCAGGGAGUCUCCAAAGGAAGCCAACCGCUGGCCCCGAAUCACGCAGCCUGUCCUUAAACGCCCUCGCCAUGUGCAUUGCCACCUGUGCUGUCCAGACGGGCACAUGCAGCAUGCUGUGGUUACAGCCCGGCGGCACGGCAGGGAUCUGUACCGCUGUGCCCGGGUCAGCUCCUGGGGAGACCUUUUACCUGUGAUCGCUCCAUCCCCUGCUGAAGAGCCCCCUGAGAGUUGACAAGGAUUUAUAGCAAGUGUCCUUUCGAUCACACCUGCCAAGCCCAAAGCUACCUGGUAUCCAGGAAGAGAGCUCUGAACAGCCCCAAUUCGCAACAGGAAAUGUUAACCCCCAGAAGAGGAGGAUACCCACCAGAAAGGCAGGGGCACCUCAAGUCUGCCUCACAGCAAGCAUAAUUCUGAGCUAUGAGGGAAGGGAACACCGAAGAGAGCUGGGAGCACGCUGAUAAGAUAACAUCACAGGCUUUGAUAAAGGUCAAGGUUUUCAGAGUUCUUGACACGGAUAGACAUCUGGUAGGCCAGGUUCAGCACUCUGAGGUUCUGCACGUCAAGCUUGUAAAUUGUCCUGUACAACGAAAAUGACAAGGUUAACAGUUGAUAAUUACAGGAAUAGAUUGCAACUGGGACAUGGCACAGCCUACCUUGACCAAAAUGAAGAAUGUGUUCUGCCUGAGUUUUUUUGUUGUUGUUGUUUGUUUGAAGUUUGUGGGUUUCCUUAAACUUUAAAGAUAAAAACGAAGUGUUUAAGCUUUUAUAUAAGAGAAAAAAAAACCAAUUAACUGAUUUCCGGGGGUGGGGGGGUGUGCUUCAUCACAGAAACAAGUGACAGGUGACAGGUGGGGCAUAGUGGCUCAAGGCUCUGGAGAAGCAGAAGCAGGUAAAUCUCUUCAGUUUAUCAAGGCUAGCCUGAUCUACAUAGUUCCAGGCUGGCCAGGGCUACACAGCGAGACCCCUGUGUCAACAACAAAAAAAAGUGACAGUAUCCAUGUUGUAACACUAGGAAUACACACACACACACACACACACACACACACACACACACACACACACACGAGAGAGAGAGAGAGAGAGAGAGAGAGAGAGAGAGAAAGAGAGAGAGAGAGAGAGAGAGAGAACAUGAGCUAGCAAGAGCACUCCCAGGGAAUUUCCAUGCUUGGAGCUAUUUUUCUGGAAUUAAAGGAAAGGGGACUCUCUUCAUUUGCUAAUUCACACAGAAGAGUAGCAACUCCACCCCAUUUACCCUCAGGUGGCCCCAAAUCCUCUCUGAAAGGGUUCAGUUCAAGUAUCAGCAUAGCAACCUGUAAGACUUAGGAUAGUACAGACCGUAUGGAAGGCAUAUAUUAAAUGUCCUGACCCAGGCCGGACCAAAUUGCCUCACACAUAAAUUAGCUGGGACGUAACUACCAUAGGUUGUUCCAUUUGAGGUUAGAUCAACCCCAGACAUGAACUAAGAGUCCUCAGAGAGCUUGGAUUAGUCACAGCAUUGAAGAGAAAACUCUGAGCUGUACCUGGCAGGGAGUCUGGAGUUUCUGGUUUGGAAGUGCAGGAAGGUGCGAGGGAGGGGAGGGGCCUCCAGAUAGUGGGAGGGUUGGUGGCUGGGGCUGAGCCCUCGUCAGCUAUGCGGGUGAGGACUGGAAACCCAGACAGUCCAGGGACAAGAAGGUUAUCAGCAGUCCUGACAUUCACGAAAGGGAAUACUCCACCUUGGCCACUUCAACUGCUUCAACCUUGGCUGCUUUUGACUUUCUGAGGUCUCUGCUUUUAUCCUACACCCCAAAGAUGGAGGUACUACUGGGAGUAAAAAUUGGCUGCCUGCUUGCCCUUCUGGUUCUCACAAUGGGCUGUGGCCUUACUCCCAUCUACGUCAAAUGGUUCCAGAUGGAUGCAGCUACAGGUCAUCACCACAGGGUUCUCAGCCUCCUGGGCUGCACCUCUGCCGGCGUCUUCUUGGGAGCAGGGUUGAUGCAUAUGACUGCUGAAGCCCUGGAGGGAAUUGAGUCAGAAAUUCAGAGAUUUGUGGUGCAGAAUAGUACAGGAAGUAAGGGGAAUUCUUCUCGUGAUGCUGCUUCUAGUUACGUAAGUAUCUUCUAUUAGCCCCUGUCUGGAGAGUGGGACUUUUCAUGCCCCUUUUGAUAUGUGAGGAAUACCAGGACUUUCUUUUCUUAGCUCAAAUAAUGUUGAGAAAGACACUGCCGACCUAAUCCUUUGUUUGUGGGCCCUCAGAAAAAAAGCUCACAUUUCACUCCAUCCUUCCUACCCAAGACCCUGUGACCGACUUCACAUUAUUUUCCUUUAUCUCUAAUCCAAGCGACAUUUUGUCCCUCAGCCCCUCUGGGUCUCUCUCCUCUGCGCAUCUACUCUUGGGCUCCACCCCUUUUGGUCCUUUUACCACGUUUUUUGCAUUCUCGGUCUCUCUCCUGGUCCCCAUGUCUCCUCCCCUUCCUGGCUUAUGGUCCCUCUCUCUGUUCCUAGGUGGAGUAUCCCUAUGGAGAGCUCAUCAUCUCCCUGGGCUUUUUCUUUGUCUUCCUUUUGGAGUCACUGGCAUUGCAGUGCUGUCACGGGGAUGCUGGAGGAUCAACAGUACAGGAGGAGGAAUGGGGAGGGACUCAUGCCUUUGGAUUCCACAAGCACCCACCCAUACCCUCACCCUCACGGGGUCCCCUGCGUGCCCUGGUCCUUCUGCUCUCACUGUCCUUUCACUCCGUGUUUGAAGGCCUAGCUGUGGGACUGCAGGCAACAGUGGCAACCACUAUACAGCUCUGUGUUGCUGUGCUGGCUCAUAAGGGGCUUGUGGUGUUUAGUGUGGGCCUGAGGCUGGUGAAGAUCGGCACCGGACCACGAUGGGCCACGUUCUGCAUACUGUCACUAGCUCUCAUGUCUCCUGUGGGCCUAGCCCUGGGGCUGACUGUGGCUGGAGGGGCCUCGGGACAAGCACAGGGAUUAGCCCAGGCUGUAUUAGAGGGUAUAGCAGCUGGCACAUUUUUAUAUGUCACCUUCCUAGAAAUUUUGCCCCGGGAGCUGGCUUGUCCUGAGGCCCCUCUGGCCAAGUAUGGCUGUGUGGCUGCUGGGUUUGCCUUCAUGGCCCUUAUUGCCUUGUGGGCCUGAGAUAUUCCUCACUGCUCGGAUAGACCUAUGUAGGGUAACUUCUCCUGAGGACACUCCCUCAAUAACUUCUGUCCUCAGACAUUAUUUUCAAUGAGACUAAACAUUUACUAGGCACGGACUGACUCAGACUUCAUAGGACGUGAGAUCCCGUCCUAGCUCAGGACUUAGAAUGUUUUGUUUGCAUACCUAUUUAACUGGAAAAUUGGUGUCAAGACCAUCACUCCAGAUUCGUUAUUGUGUAUAAUAAAAGUCCCAUUUUACCUGUUCCCUUCAA